CAGUCGCCACGGUAAUACGUAGGGUGCGAGCGUUAAUCGGAAUUACUGGGCGUAAAGCGUGCGUAGGCGGCUUCUUAAGUCGGAUGUGAAAUCCCUGAGCUUAACUUAGGAAUUGCAUUCGAUACUGGGAAGCUAGAGUAUGGGAGAGGAUGGUAGAAUUCCAGGUGUAGCGGUGAAAUGCGUAGAGAUCUGGAGGAAUACCGAUGGCGAAGGCAGCCAUCUGGCCUAAUACUGACGCUGAGGUACGAAAGCAUGGGGAGCAAACAGGAUUAGAUACCCGAGUAGUCCCUGUCUCUUAUAC
rnacentral:rRNA from 1 species